GGGAAACAACACACAAUUAAUGGCUCCCCUGUUUAUUACAUACCAACAGGAAUCUGGAUUCACUUGACAGUGGUCAUAAAACUUCUGGCUAUUCUAUGAACAAAUAUCCUACAGAU
rnacentral:snoRNA from 1 species